ACGCUCGACACCUACGGGAGGCGGCAGUGGGGAAUAUUGCACAAUGGGGGAAACCCUGAUGCAGCGACGCCGCGUGGAGGAAGAAGGUCUUCGGAUUGUAAACUCCUGUUGUUAGGGGAAAAAGAGGAUGGUACCCAACAAGGAAGUGACGGCUAACUACGUGCAAGCAGCCGCGGUAAUCUGAGCGGGCUGGCAAGGC
rnacentral:rRNA from 1 species